rnacentral:rRNA from 1 species
UACAGAGGGCCCAAGCGUUGUUCGGAUUCACUGGGCGUAAAGGGUGCGUAGGUGGUGAGGUAAGUCGGAUGUGAAAGCUCGGAGCUCAACUCCGAAAUGGCAUUGGAAACUACCUUGCUCGAGGGUUGGAGGGGGGACUGGAAUGCUUGGUGUAGCAGUGAAAUGCGUAGAUAUCAAGCGGAACACCAGUGGCGAAGGCGAGUCCCUGGACAACUCCUGACACUGAGGCACGAAAGCUAGGGGAGCAAACAGG